rnacentral:rRNA from 1 species
ACCAAAGCGACGAUCAGUAGCCGACCUGAGAGGGUGACCGGCCACAUUGGGACUGAGACACGGCCCAAACUCCUACGGGAGGCAGCAGUGGGGAAUAUUGCACAAUGGGGGAAACCCUGAUGCAGCGACGCCGCGUGAGCGAAGAAGUAUCUCGGUAUGUAAAGCUCUAUCGGCAGGGAAGAUGAUGACGGUACCUGACUAAGAAGCCCCGGCUAACUAC